AUGGGAGGAGUCAACGUUAUUAAAGGAUGGUCCGCAAACUGCAUGCUGUGUUCCAUGUUCAUCAUCUUGUACAUAAUACAAGUACUGUUGUGUUCCUUUCAUGUAUGUUGCACUGAUAGAGUUUCUUUGAGGUAUGGCGAGUGGAUUAGAUCAGACAAUGAAGAAACUCUGGUUUCGCCUGGAAGAAAGUUUGAAUUAGGAUUCUUUAGUCCUACUGGAAGUUCUGGCGGUAAAAGAUAUGUUGGAAUAUGGUACACGUCAAAUAUGCAAACAGCUGUAUGGGUUGCCAACCGAGAUCUCCCGGUUAUCAAUGCUACAGGAGCUUUCGGAUUUGCAAAAGAUGGCAAUCUCCAGGUGUUGGAUACUAGUACUGAGAAGGCUCAUUGGUAUUCGGAAUGCUAUAAUUGGGGUGAAUCCUACAAUACUACAGACACGAUUGUGAAUCUCACAGAUUCUGGAAACCUGGUACUAUGCGGAUACUCAUACUCAUACGGUAAUGUGACAAGUUUGUGGGAGAGCUUUAAAAAUCCAACUGAUACGUUUCUUCCAGGCAUGACGCUGUCGUUGUAUGGAAACAUUAAUUUGACUUCUUGGAGAGGCCGUGAUGACCCUGGAAGUGGGAACUUCACAUUUAUGCUAGAUGCAGCCGAAAAUCAGAACGCAAUAAUCGUCAACAAAGAAGGGACGACGAUUUAUUGGAAAAGCUCGGUUGGUUUAUACACUUUCCUCACAAGAACAGAAGAUCAAAAUGAUGCUAAUUUUGAGAAUGCAAUGUUGGUGAUGAAUUUUAGUGGGAAGAUAGGGUAUUGGACACACAGCACAAUCGAGACAUGGUCCUUGUCCGCUGCGGAGCCAAGCAACAAUUGUAGUGUGUAUAAUGUUUGUGGAAAAUUUGGUGUCUGUAAUUUGUACAAUAAUAUAUUGGCAUUCAAAUUGUGGAAAGAAGGCAAGGCUGUAGAUUUAAUGGACCAAACAAUACAUGAAACUUGCAAUGCAGACGAAUUUUUGAGGUGUGUUAACAUUGGGCUUUUAUGUGUACAAGAGGACCCAAGUGAUCGUCCCACAAUGUCAAAUAGUGUCGACUUCAGGAAUUUUUCUUAGGUUGUUGUUCUUUAAGAAACAUAAAUUAUACAAUCUAAUAAAAAGAGAAAUUCAUAUAUUGACAACAACAAUAAUAAAAAAAAAAACACGUAAAUACAUAAAGUUUAUAAUUUCCAUCUACAAGUUUUCAUAUUUUGAAAUCGUUGCGUGAUAAUCUCAUUAUCAAUGUUACAAACUACAUCUUUUUCAAUAUAUACAACUAAGCAAUCAUUCAUCUACUUAUCUCCCAUUCGAUUGCGCAGUUCAUUCUUUAUAUAUUUCGUUGCUGAAAAACUUUUUUCUACUGUUGCAGUAGGGCAGGAAGGGUCAAAGUUAACUUACAAGCAAAUAAACUAAUGGAUAAGUCUUAUGCUUUCCUGUGUCACUAACUUUUCAACAAGUUCACUAACUCCUUGAAGCUCUAAAAACAAGCCAUUGUUGCACAUAUCAAAAAUGUAAUUCUAAAGUUGAGAGUCAAGUGCCAAGAUAUCUGUUCCAAGAAAAUCAGAUGGGUAGAACUUUGCUAGACAUAUCAACUUUUCCUUAUCAGAAGCCACAAAUGAAUUACUUGGAUUCAAGUAAGUCAUACAAAGUAGCAAAUUGGUAUUCGCCUCUGAAAACGAUUGUUAAGCUCUUGAAGUUGCAUAUCUAUGACUGUGUAGAAUAGCUCAACAUGAUAAUGAUGUAAAUUUGUAUUUUGUUGGGUGUUGCGUCGCGGCCUCCCACUAACUACAAAUAUUUUAUCCAUGUUCAAGAUAGGAAUAUCAUGUGUGGUACAAAAUGAAGACACUUCAGUUAAUAAAGAUAUCCAUUCAUCAUCUCUUAUCACUUGCAAUCAUUGCUUAGACACUUUAAAAAGAUCUAUAGCAUUUACUAUAUCUUGAUUUUUUUUUUUGGUAAUGCUAUUGACAACUCAUUUGUGAUCCCUAAAAUGUUUUUCAUCAAGUGUAGAGCAAAGAUAGAUUCAAAAGAUAGAAUUGACUUCAUAAUAGAUCGAGCUUCAACUUUUUGGUCGGAGAGGCCAUCUUCUUCAAUAAUCUCAAGUACAUCAACAACAGUAGAGAACAUCAAAAUCAAGUUGAGAAUAGUCCCAUAAUAUGAACCCCUACGUAUAUCACCAGGACGUUUAAGAUUUGUCUCUUGAUUCAAACAUUGCCCACUUCUACGUACACCAUUCUCUAAUUCUUCUUUAAUUUUGGCAAAUUGUGCAUAAAGAGCAUCUCGUCUCUUACAAGAGCCUCCAACAACAGUUACUAAAUUACUAACCACAUAAAAAAAUUCAGCAAUAUAAUAUGAUUUUUAGCAACGGCAACAAGUGUUAAUUGAAGUUGAUGAGCAAAACAAUGGACAUAAAAUGCUGACUUAUUCUCUUUCAAAAUUAAAGUUUUAAGACCAUUGAUAUCACCUUGCAUAUUACUAGCCCCGUCAUAACCUUGCCUACAUAGUUUUGAUAAACUCAAAUUAUGUUCACAAAGUAAACAUUCAAUUGCAUAUUUGAGUGACAAAGCGGUGGUACUUGCUACAUGUACAAUACCAAGAAACUGCUCUAUAAUAAUUCCUUUUUUGUUCACGUAACGAAGAACGAGGGCCAUUUGCUCUUUUACUAAGAUAUCAUGUGACUCAUCAACUAAUAUUGAAAAGAACCCAUUGUCAAGAUCCUUGAUGAUGGCUUUGGAUGUUUCACGUGCAAUUGCAUUCAAAAUGUCUUUUUGAAUUCCAUGGUGGGUAAGCUUGCAAUUUUUCAGAGUUUUUUGCAACACUUCAUUGAUAGAUUCAAUGUGAUCUCCCAAAAAUUGUAGAAGCUCAAGGAAAUUUCCUUUAUCACUUGAACCUUGAAAUUCAUCGUGACCACGAAAAGCUAAUCCCCAGCAUAAAAGGAAUCUUAUGCAAUCAACUAUUGCAUUUAAUUGAACCCGAUAUUCAAUUUUAUCUUGAUUUGAUUGCUUAACCAAAACACUUUGAAUGUGUUGUUUUUCCUUAAAUAGAUCUUCAUUCUUUUUGAUAGCUUGGUUAUGAGCAAUAUUAACUCCUCCAACAUGGGAAUUUAACUUCUCUUUUUUAUUCCAAAGUUUGAAUCCCUUCGUUACAAAAGUCUGACCUCCUCCUUGCUUACCAACAUCUUGCCCAAAUAGGUAGCAAUACAAACAAAAUAUUGCAUCCUUGUCUAUACUAUAUUCUAACCACUUUCUAUUUACAUACCAUUCGGAUAUAAAUCAACGGGGCUUUCUAGAAAAAUAUGAUAGAGGGUAAUCAUCAUCGUUUUGGAAAACAGGUUGACAAUGGUCUUUUUUGUAAAUAAUAUCUUCUUAUUUCAUCAUGAUUAUUAGGAUGAUAAGAUGAUAUCUUUUCUCGUAGCCUAGGAUCUGAAGGAAGAUUUUCUAAAUUAAAGUCAACACAAAUUUGCUUAGAAGAUGAGGAUGAAUCUUGCACAUGAGAUCAAUCUUGGGUACAUGGUUUUCUUAUCAAAUAUAUGUCCAUAAUUCUAGAAAAAGAAUAAACAAUAAACUAUAAGUUCAUUUGAAAUAUUAAUAAAAUUAUUUUUAUUGUUGUUUAGUUGUUUCAUUAAUUUGUUUGUCUUUUAUAAACUAUAAUUUGUUAUAUUGUUGUUUCAUUAAUUAUAAAAUUAUUAAUUGUUGUUUAGCCUAACAUAGUAACAUAAUUUAAUUUUUUUGUCUUUUAUAAUGCAUUUGUAAAUUAAAUUAUUAAUUAUUGUUUACUAGUUGCUUCCUCCAAUUAAUUAUUGAUUAAUUAAAUGAUUGUUUAUUAGUUGCACUACUGCGCUAGCACACAGCCACACACCCCAUGUGCAGUUACCCUAACCCCAUGCCCCCAUCCACCCCCAAUUCAAUAGACAAGUCCCAAUGCCCCAUGGCCCCCAAUCACAAGACUAGAGCUAGUUAGAGAAAGCCAAUUAAUUGUAUCUCACCAAAAGACACCAACACCAAAACUAAAAGACAAUUAAUUGUAUCUCACCAACACCAACACCAGCACCAACUGAUAAAGCCAAAAAUAGGGCAAAUAUUAAUGAAGUUAUAAAUAAAGCUAGGCAAAAGCAACAGACAAUCACAGUGAGAAAUAGAGAAUCAGAUAAAGUGUGAGAGAGAGAGAGAGUCUCAUUUCAUAAUUUCAUUUCACUUUCAUAGUUUCAUUCUUCAGAUAAAGAGAGAUAGACUGAGAUAGAGAGAGAUUGAGACAAAGAUGAAAUACUUUGAGGUUGAGGGAGCAGGGAGGCCUGAGGCUGAGGGGCGGCGUCGUUGGGCAACACGUUGAGGUGAGGAAGACCGAUCUCCUAUCCAAUGUGUUCUACCAUUCUAGAGCUCGAGUUUGAGGCCCGAUCUGGCGAUCUCCUUCUCUGAUUCGUUGGUUCUGCCGUUUUGGAGCUUUCAGUAUAUUGGGUUUAUGGGUUAGGUGUAUUUUUUUUUUUUUUUUUCCUUUAGGUUAGGUUUCUUUCUUCCUUUCAACAUCUAUUAGUGUUCGGUUGCACCAUCCAUUGGUUUUUGAUUUCAAUUUUUUUUUUUUUUUUUUUUGAGAAUCUAUGGGUUUGCUACUGUAAUAUGUUGGGUUUUCUUUACCUUGUUUUUUUCUUUAGAUUGAGUUUGCUUUACCGNUUUUUCCCUAGUGGGCUUGAUCUGAUAAUUUUUUUUUUUUUUUUAAUUUGAGGGUGUUCCUAAUUUUUUUUAAAGGGUAAACAAAUAAAAAAAAUUUAAUAAUUAUAUAUAAUUUUUCUUUUUUCAGGUUUGGGUGUUCCUAGGAACACCUUGGGCUGAACGUGGCGCCGCCACUGUUUGGUUGUCAAGGCUGGCUUUCCAUUUCAAAAGAGCCUCUGCUUCUCGCCCCAUCAUUGCUACUAUAUUGGAAGGUGAAGUUGCAGAGGAAGAAAAAAUAGCAACAUGGAAAGAAGAAGCCAAGGCAAGAAUGAUAAUGAAAGCCGCGGUGAAUAAGCAAUGGGAAAUUGGUCUCUCUAUUAAGGACAUCAUGACUUUUAUAAGUUGCAUGCGAGGAUAUAGAUUGUUGGUAGAUGGCAGAAAGGAAUUGGGUGAUCAGAGAACAAAUGGCUUUAUGGUUAUGUAG
rnacentral:sRNA from 1 species